rnacentral:lncRNA from 1 species
AGCGGUCCGGGAUGAGGUCCCCAGCUGCUUCCCAGCCGGGACAGCGCUUCCUCCCGCGCCCUGGCUCCUCCUUGCUCGCCGCCUGAAGCGCCUUUGUCCGGUCGGCCUCUGGGUCCUGAGAGGACCGUUUCCGUGCUUCAUCCUUUUCUCAGCUUUGCACUUUAUUCCCUAGAGUGGCAUGGAGGCCAGGGAAGUGGAGGGGGCUGGGUUGCGCGGUCAGCGGAUGGCAUGGGGAGGGGACGGGGCUCACCUCUUGACCGCGCGCUGGCAGUCACCUGGACACCUGGACACGCAGGUUCCCGAGGACCGCCGCCUGGGAAGGCCCGCGGCUGCCAGAAGCCCAGAGCCACUCCUCUGACUCCGGUGGCCUUGGCUGCCCUGAACUGUUCCGAGGGUCAAGGACCUGGCCAGGGAUCCAGCCCCAGAUAACUUCGCUUUCGCCUGGAUCUCACAGCACAGGCCACGCACAGAUUGAGUCACUUUAGGGGCUCAGAGUGUUGCGUGUGAGAAGAUGAGAGUCGGGGUCUUUGGAUUUAUUCCUUAAAAUCCAUUAACUUAUUUCUUGCACCUCAAACUGAACCUUCUGUUAUCCAUCCAUCCCUUCAGGGAUUCCUCGCAGGAAUCCCCGCCCUGCGUAGACCCUUGUAAUCUUGAGUGGGCAAUGAAUUUUGGCUCUGCAUACCCUAUCUAUGUAUUUCUUACUCAAUUUUGAUUGACGUUGUGAACUGUCUCAAAAGCCUGGUCCAAAAUUUCUGGCUUCAUCCAUGCUGAGGUGCUGUUUUGAUGAGGUUUUCCCAGGGACUUCCUGAGUGUGCUCAGGUGCGCCCUCUGCCUGUUGAGAGCUUGUAGGUCAGGGGCCAGGCUUGCUUCUUUUCUUACCCUUUUACUUCCAGCCAUUUUGCCAGGGUACAAUUCACUGCCUCCUGCUUCCUGACCUUUCACGAGUGUCCUUCGACUUUGAUCCAUCUGCCACUGCGUUUGCUUUCGUGAGUUUGCACGUUAGGUAGCCCAUCUGCUCGUGUUCUAUUGCGAUCAUUAUUAGGGAGUAAGGUGUUCUUGGUUAAACAUACAAUUCAGUCUUGACAUUUUAGAUCAUUAGGAAUGAAAUCCAGCGACCUGUUUUGAACUUUACUAUAUAAAAUCCUAUCAGCUUCCACCACGUACAGCGGGAAGCUCCAAGUUAUGUGUGGUGCUUUUUGGGUGCUGAAUGCUAGGACUUCACCGCAGUUAGAAAAUUAGAGAACCUCAGGCUUUCUUCUCCAAAGUGCUAAGAAACAGAGUGCUUUCUUAUUCUCCUAGAAAAUCUUCAGUACUCGUCUUGCCUCAUGAACGUUUAAAGCUAAAACCUUCACAGAGAUGUGAGAUGGAGCAGGAGCAGUGGCUAAUUGCUGAACUCUUCAAAACUUGGCAUAUCAGAGUACAAGGCAUCAUCAAAUUCCCCAAAAUCAGAGUCUCUAACUUUGAUUCAGGGAUCUCAAGAAUCUGAAUGAAGUGAGUUCUGGUUUCCUUCAGAAUGAAUCGAUAUGACCGCCAUGCGGGGCUGCUGGUGUACCACCAUCAUCCCCAACACUCCUGUUCAGAAGAUGGGUGAGGAAAGUGGAAAGUCUAAUCAGUCAGCCGAUGACCAGUGGGAAAAAUGAGCUACAAGAUCACCUGAUCUUCAUCAGUGAGAAAGCUUUGCACAAGAGGUAUUUUUCAUUCUGUCAAACAUCAUGGUCAAUUUCUUGGGUCUAUGGUAUGGCCUACAAUUUAUUCUUAUUAAAUUUUAUGGUACUGGGAGACUGUAACUCCAGGGUGUCACUGUGCCCAACCUUUUCUCCCUAAACAUUCUCACAGGCUGAACUUGAAGUCAGAGCAGGAGUGAGCUGCGGAUAUAGGCUAUUCAAUUUCUUUUAUAUGAAACUGAAAUCCUACCACUCAGGGAUUGAAGAGGAUGUGAUGUCUCAGCAUGUGUUAAUAGAGGCACUGACAUGUGACGGUUUGAGUGAGAUAUUAGUUGCUGUGAGGUUUUGUUUGAUUGUUUGCUUGCUUGAGUUCUUUGUUUGUUUGUUUGCAAAGCUUUGUAAUUGUCUGGCAGGUGUUGCUUGCUGAAGCUUGCUAUAUCACCAGGAAAGCUUGGUCCCAUUUGGUCCAUCCUGAUACAUGAUGGAAGGUCUUGGGCUCAUUAAUACUCUUCUCAGAUUUUGGGCCUUAUAAACAGAAUGUCCUCUGCAUUUCCUCUGGAUUCUAUUUCAAUUGUACUUUCUCAUUCUCCCUGCAAACACACCCUGAUUCUGUGUGCAUGCAUGUGUGUGUGUGUAUGUGCGACUCUCUCUAUAUUCUGGUCAUAAGGGUAUGUGCUAGGACCUGAGGAAUUGCCUGCCUUACACUCUGCUGACAAUGCCAAUGCUUAGGACUGGAAACCAUACUUCAAGCAACAAUGCACUUGCAUUAUGUGUUCAACUUGAUGAAAUAUUUGAGUUCUGUGGUGAAUUCACUAUGACCUCCUUAUGCUGGUUCAUUCUCCCAGAAAUGUAGAUUAUUUAGCUUGGCCAAAUUCAUAGGACUAGGCCAAAGAUCAAGAGUCCCUGGUUUG